rnacentral:rRNA from 1 species
CCUACGGGUGGCUGCAGUGAGGAAUAUUGGUCAAUGGACGCAAGUCUGAACCAGCCAUGCCGCGUGAAGGAAGACGGCUCUAUGAGUUGUAAACUGCUUUUGUACGAGGGUAAACGCAGAUACGCGUACCUGUCUGAAAGUAUCGUACGAAUAAGGAUCGGCUAACUCCGUGCCAGCAGCCGCGGUAAUACGGAGGAUUCAAGCGUUAUCCGGAUUUAUUGGGUUUAAAGGGUGCGUAGGCGGUCGGAUAAGUUAGUUGUGAAAUCCGGAGGCUCAACGUCAGAAUUGCAUCUGAUACUGUGCGGCUAGAGAAUAGUUGCGGUAGGCGGAAUGUAUGGUGUAGCGGUGAAAUGCUUAGAGAUCAGGCAGAACACCGAUUGCGAAGGCAGCUUACCAAACUACUACUGACGUUGAGGCACGAAAGCGUGGGGAGCAAACAGGAUUAGAUACCCCAGUAGUC